rnacentral:rRNA from 1 species
GACGAACGCUGGCGGCGUGCUUAACACAUGCAAGUCGAACGGAAAGGCCCUGCUUGCCGGGUACUCGAGUGGCGAACGGGUGAGUAACACGUGGGUGAUCUGCCCUGCACUUCGGGAUAAGCCUGGGAAACUGGGUCUAAUACCGGAUAGGAGCCAUUUUUAGUGUGAUGGUUGGAAAGUUUUUUCGGUGUAGGAUGAGCUCGCGGCCUAUCAGCUUGUUGGUGGGGUAAUGGCCUACCAAGGCGGCGACGGGUAGCCGGCCUGAGAGGGUGGACGGCCACAUUGGGACUGGGAUACGGCCCAGACUCCUACGGGAGGCAGCAGGGGGGAAUAUUGCACAAUGGGCGCAAGCCUGAUGCAGCGACGCCGGGGGGGGGAUGACGGCCUUCGGGUUGUAAACUCCUUUCGCUGGGGACGAAGCUUUUUGGGACGGUACCUAGAUAAGAAGCACCGGCUAAAUACGU